rnacentral:rRNA from 1 species
AAUUGACGGGGCCCGCACAAGCGGCGGAGCAUGUGGCUUAAUUCGACGACCAACGCGAAGAACCUUACCAAAGGCUUAGACAUACACCGGAAACGUCCAGAGAUGGGCGCCCCCUUGUGGGUCGGUGUAACAGGUGGUGCAUGGCUGUCGUCAGCUGUCGUGUUCGUGAGAUGUUUGGUUAAAGUCCCGCAACGAGCGCAACCCUUGUCCCGUGUUGCCAGCAGGCCCUUGUGGUGCUGUGGGGACUCACGGGAGAACCGCCGGGGUCAACUCGGAGGAAGGUGGGGACGACGUCAAGUCAUCAUGCCCCUUAUGUCUUGGGCCUGCACACGUGCUACAAUGGCCGGUACAAAAGAGCUGCGAUACCGUGAGGUGGAGCGAAUCUCAAAAAGCCGGUCUCAGUUCGGAUUGGGGUCUGCAACUCGACCCCAUGAAGUCGGAGUCGCUAGUAAUCGCAGAUCAGCAUUGCUGCGGUGAAUACGUUCCCGGGCCUUGUACACACCGCCCGUCACGUCACGAAAGUCGGUAACACCCGAAGCCGGUGGCCCAACCCCUUGUGGAGGGAGCUGUCGAAGGUGGGACUGGCGAUUGGGACGAAGUCGUAAACAAGGUAGCCGUACCGGAAGGUGCGGCUGGAUCACCUCCUUUCUA